UACGGAGGGUGCAAGCGUUAUCCGGAUUCACUGGGUUUAAAGGGUGCGUAGGUGGGUUGCCAAGUCCGUGGUGAAAUCUCCGAGCUUAACUCGGAAACUGCCGUGGAUACUGGUAAUCUUGAAUAUCGUGGAGGUAAGCGGAAUAUGUCAUGUAGCGGUGAAAUGCUUAGAUAUGACAUAGAACACCGAUUGCGAAGGCAGCUUGCUACACGAUCAUUGACACUGAGGCACGAAAGCGUGGGGAUCAAACAGG
rnacentral:rRNA from 1 species